ensembl:lncRNA
CGAAUUUGGAAAUGUUCCUUCCUCUGAAACUUUUGGAAAGAGUUUUAGAAAGCAAACGAUGAGUGAUGAAACAGAGUUGGCUAUAGAGCCUGAAAAACAAAUGGAACUUUGCGGAGAACCCGAGUCCUUCUGCAUCAAAGGAAAAGCUGAGUGUGGACCUGCUGUCAGUGAAACAGGAAGAGGAAGGAGAGUCCUAUUCCUGGAACCUCAUCCGAGUCAAUGGAAGAUGAUAAGGAUGACUGUUCUCACCUCCUCUUCAUGAUCUUACCCAAUGAACAAAAAAUCUUGAUAAUGGCUUCUUUGGGAACGAUGCUGACUAAACUGUUAUUAAGUCCAGAGGAAAUCAAUGCUGAUAUAAAAUGUGAAUUAAAGAAGGAAAUUCAGCAACCAGAACAAAGUAAGCAGUAUAACAAUUUCUAUUAGAAAAGAAGCACCAAAAAAAAAAAAAAAACAAACCCAGAAACAAAACAUGCAGAGUCUCUCUCAUUCUAUGAUUUAGGAUAGAUUCAACCUAAGUCUUGAGGUUCAUUUGUUGCCCAAGCUGGGUUUUCACAUAAUUUAGGAUAGCUUCUUUUUAUUUUGACUAUAAUAUUACACUGCACCUUUUUGGGGGGUUAUUUUACUUUUUACUUGGUUAUUGCUUGCAAGAAUUCCAUUGGUAGAUAUGUUUAGGCAUCAUGACUGACAUGUAAAAACACAUACUCUAUGUAACAUUUUAUCAAUUGAAUAUCUGAAGUAGCAGAUACACCAGGAUUGAGUUCUACCAUCUUUUCAUGUUUUGAGAAAUAACUGAAGAUUUUAAAAAUAUAUCUCUAGGAUAUGAAAAAAUCUUCAGAUUGCUUAAAACAGUGCAAGAACCACCAGCAGUGAG